rnacentral:rRNA from 1 species
AAAUGCCCUGCUUCCAGGAAAAGCCUCUAAGCAUCAGGUAACAUCAAAUCGUACCCCAAACCGACACAGGUGGUCAGGUAGAGAAUACCAAGGCGCUUGAGAGAACUCGGGUGAAGGAACUAGGCAAAAUGGUGCCGUAACUUCGGGAGAAGGCACGCUGAUAUGUAGGUGAAGCGACUUGCUCGUGGAGCUGAAAUCAGUCGAAGAUACCAGCUGGCUGCAACUGUUUAUUAAAAACACAGCACUGUGCAAACACGAAAGUGGACGUAUACGGUGUGACGCCUGCCCGGUGCCGGAAGGUUAAUUGAUGGGGUUAGCGGUAACGCG